GUGGAGAUGCAUUGUUAAAUUUACAGUGCUAGGUUCAGAAUUCAUAGAGUCAGGUUGAGGAAGUGCAAGUAGAUGACUAAUCUCGAGCACCCUACAUGCAGUUAAUUGAGAUACUUGCAAAGAUUGUCCAUACUGAGCAAGAGCUUCAAGAGCAGUAAUACUUAAAUUUAUAUGCCGCAUUAAAGCUGUUUGUCUAUCUUCUGCUAAAGCCUCUUCUAUUUGAGUUUCUGCUAAAUGUAAUUCUAAAUUUCCUCGUAUUUUUUCAAAUUCUUGACAUUUCAAACAAUUCAAUUUCUAUAAAUUUUGUGAUUCGUAAAAACUUAAAGGCUUCGUUCUUCCAUUAUUCUGCUUAUCGCAUAAACCAUAAUGUGAUGAAGUUCUUUCGAAAGGUUUACAUUGAUGUGUUAUUGAAAGUAGAGGCGACAACAACUGCGAUGCACACAGAGGUACUUCUUCUUCUGAUGUUGGUGUGCAGUAGAAACAAGGUUCAUGUAAAUUAGAAUCAUUCCAUCGUUUAUAUCUUUGCUCAUGAAAUUGUGACAUCUUUUAUCUUCAAAUAAAUUCCUGUUCUAAUUACAUUUUUAAUUUUAAUUUUUGUCAUUCAAAUCCUAUGGUUUACUUACAUAAUGAAAUUAUUUAUUAAAGAAAAAUAUAAAUUUUUAAUAUUUCACAGGAGAUAAUUUUAAUAGAUUAAUAUAAGGAAAAGGUAUAUUUUAAGGUUGAGUAUUAAACAGAACACAUAUUUGAAUCAUAAACACUUAUGUUACAAACCAGUAAUCAUUUAUUAUAAUCGUCUUCAAUUGAAAAGGACAAUUAAAGCGAUAAAUGUAUAUAUAUAUAUUAUAUAUAUACAUAUAUAUACGCAUUAUAGUUUAUAUUAAGGUUAUAAAGAUAUGACUAAUUGAUUCAGUAAAAUAAACAACAAGACAUAAAAAUGACAAAUGAUAUAACAAUUGAUUGCUCCACUGCUACACUAAAUUUUAAACCUCAAUAUUAUUACUUGGGUGCAUUCAAAAUUCUAAUUAAUAUUAACAAUUGAUGCUCCUAUGUUACAUUAAUAAAUAAAUACAACAUAAAGAAGAUAAGUAGACAUAAUUAUUACUUUCAAGCACAUUUCGUUGUAUAAUCUAUUUUUGAAAUUAUUCGUAAUAAUGACCUUAUUCUACAGAAGUAUAUUAAAAUGAAAUAUUAAGUGUAAUUAUUUUAUGACAUCACGUUAUAAUUUAUUAAUACAUCAUUUACAUUAUGUAUAAUAUUGUUGGAAAAUUUGUAAUGUACAUUGUUUUUACCGAAAAAUAAA
rnacentral:misc_RNA from 1 species